GACGAACGCUGGCGGCGUGCUUAACACAUGCAAGUCGAACGGAAAGGCCCUGCUUUUGUGGGGUGCUCGAGUGGCGAACGGGUGAGUAACACGUGAGUAACCUGCCCUUGACUUUGGGAUAACUUCAGGAAACUGGGGCUAAUACCGGAUAGGAGCUCCUGCUGCAUGGUGGGGGUUGGAAAGUUUCGGCGGUUGGGGAUGGACUCGCGGCUUAUCAGCUUGUUGGUGUGGUAGUGGCUUACCAAGGCUUUGACGGGUAGCCGGCCUGAGAGGGUGACCGGCCACAUUGGGACUGCGAGACGGCCCAGACUCCUACGGGAGGCAGCAGUGGGGAAUAUUGCACAAUGGGCGGAAGCCUGAUGCAGCAACGCCGCGUGCGGGAUGACGGCCUUCGGGUUGUAAACCGCUUUCGCCUGUGACGAAGCGUGAGUGACGGUAAUGGGUAAAGAAGCACCGGCUAACUACGUG
rnacentral:rRNA from 1 species